rnacentral:rRNA from 1 species
UGGGGGAUAUUGCACAAUGGACGAAAGUCUGAUGCAGCGACGUCGUGUGGGGGAUGAAGGCCUUCGGGUUGUAAACUCCUUUCGCCCGCGGAAAAGGCAGGGUUUUGGCCUUGUUGAUGGUAGUGGGUAAAGAAGCGCCGGCUAACUACGUGCCAGCAGCCGCGGUAAUACGUAGGGCGCGAGAGUUGUCCGGAAUUAUUGGGCGUAAAGGGCUCGUAGGCGGUUUGUCGCGUCUAGCGUUUAAGGCUCGGGCUUAACCCGGGUUUGCGUUGGGUACGGGCAGGCUUGAGUGAGGUAGGGGUAACUGGAAUUCCUGGUGUAGCGGUGGAAGGCGCAGAUAACAGGAGGAACACCGGUAGCGAAGGCGGGUUACUGGGCCGUUACUGACGCUGAGGAGCGAGAGCGUAGGGAGCGAACAGG